GAUGAACGCUAGCGACAGGCCUAACACAUGCAAGUCGAGGGGCAGCACGAAGUAAGCUUGCUUACUUUGGUGGCGACCGGCGCACGGGUGCGUAACAGGUGUGCAAUCUGUCCAUAAUCGGGGAAUAGCCCAGCGAAAGUUGGAUUAAUGCUCCAUGUGAGUAAUAGAGGCAUCUCUUUUAUUUGAAACGUAAGGAUUAUGGGUGAGCACGCUUCUGAUUAGGUAGUUGGUGAGGUAACGGCUCACCAAGCCGACGAUCAGGUAGGGGUUCUGAGAGGAACGGUCCCCCACAUUGGAACUGAGACACGGUCCAA
rnacentral:rRNA from 1 species